rnacentral:tRNA from 1 species
UGGUAUGGCUCAGUUGGUAGAGCAGCUGAUUCGUAAUCAGCAGGUCGCCGGUUCAAGUCCGGCUACC